GCCGGCCCUCCUCCGAUCCACACCUUCACUCUAUCUCUCUCAAUCUAGUAGAAACUAGAAGAUCUAUUUCUACUUUACAUUGGUUGCUAAGCCUAAAAAGAAAUAUUAUUUAGAGAAGAGGUUUUCCUUCGAGGGCACCCCUCAAUCUCUAUGAUAAUUUCUUGUCCUCCUCCAGGGGCCAGGGGCCUUGCUUAUAUAGUCCUCCUCCUCUAUGCGUU
rnacentral:lncRNA from 1 species